rnacentral:rRNA from 1 species
GAGAAUGCCGGUAUGAGUAACGAUUCGUAGUGAGAAUCUACGACGCCUAUUGGGGAAGGUUUCCUGGGCAAGGUUCGUCCACCCAGGGUUAGUCAGGACCUAAGGCGAGGCUGAAAAGCGUAGUCGAUGGACAACAGGUUAAUAUUCCUGUACUUUCUUUAAUUGUGAUGGAGUGACGGAGAAGGAUAAGCAUACCUAUUAUUGGAUUUAGGGGUAAGUAGUUACUGGUGAUUGUAGGCAAAUCCGCAAUCUAUAACUGGGAGCUAUGAUGCAUAGGACUUUUGUCUGAAUUUGCCAAUUCCAUGCUUCCUAGAAAAGUUUCUAAACUUAAUUUUAUUGAAACCUGUACCAAGAACGGACACACGUCCCCAAGAUGAGUAUUCUAAGGCGAGCGAGAAAACUAGUGUUAAGGAACUCUGCAAAAUGACCCCGUAAGUUCGCAAGAAGGGGCGCCUAUGGUAACACAUAGGCCACAGUAAAUUAUGAGGGGCAACUGUUUAUCAAAAACACAACUCUCUGCUAAACCGCAAGGUGAUGUAUAGGGGGUGAAGCCUGCCCAGUGCCCGAAGGUUAAGUGGAUGCGUUAGCUUAUGCGAAGCGUUGAAAUGAAGCCCGGGUGAACGGCGGCCGUAACUAUAACGGUCCUAAGGUAGCGAAAUUCCUUGUCGGCUAAAUACUGACCUGCACGAAAGGCAUAAUGAUCUCUCAACUGUCUCAACACUAGACUCGGUGAAAUUAUGGUCCCAGUGAAAACGCUGGGUUCCCGCAUCAAGACGAA